rnacentral:lncRNA from 9 species
UAGACUAGUUCUGACUAGGAACUGUGAUAAACUCUAGGCCCAUACAUGUUGCUGCAAAUGGCAUUAUUUCAUUCACUAUUAUGGCUGAGAAAUAUUCCAUUGCAUAUAUGUACCACAUCUUUAUCCAUUCUGAGAACUUUUUUUCUGUAGCAAAAUCCAAUAACAUUUCCAUCCUUUUAUAAUAUGAUAUUAAUAUGGUAAAUUUCCUUUAAUCUAACAGUGCCCUCUUACCCAAAGCCUAGCACAUUUUUGUGUCUUUCUUUUGUUAGAAAAGAAACCAGUUUAUUUGUCCUAUAGAACUGCCUACAUUCAAGUUGGCUGGUGGUAUUCUUGUGUGCUGGGAAGCAUUUAACAUGCUCCUCCAUCCUAUUAUUUCUUGAAAACUGGUGGGUAGAUCGGGAAGCUUAACCAGUCUAUUCUCCGUUUUUCUUUUUUCUUUUUUGGCAGGAUGGCUUUAUGGGGAGUGUAUCAGACACCACCUUGCACCAUCCAGGAGGCCUGAAAUGUCUGAGUGCUCUAUUUUAGUGAUGUUAAGAUCGCUCAGCUGAUGUCACCCCAAUCCUUCCAUUCAACUUCUGCGUGACAGGAUUUCAACACUGAGGGAAGCCACUCUGAGUUUAUGAUCCCUGCCUAGAUUUUCUCAUCUGUUCAAGAUCCUACAAAUGGGCUAAUAUUGAAAGUAGAAGAAAAGUAAAGAAAAAAACUCAACAUCAAGGCUCUGGGCUAGAAACUGUCCCUAGCCCCAUGGAAGCUGCCAGGUUUUCCUUUCCCAAGUUUUCUCUUUUCCAGAACAGAUUAUUUUUAGCAGGUACCUGUAUAUUUAACUACCUCCUCAGGUAAUUUCAAUGUAUAGCCAAGGUCAAGAACCUUGAG